UACGUAGGGGGCAAGCGUUGUCCGGAUUUAUUGGGCGUAAAGAGCGUGUAGGCGGUCAGGUAGGUCCGUUGUGAAAACUCGAGGCUCAACCUCGAGACGCCGAUGGAAACCAUCUGACUAGAGUCCGGAAGAGGAGAGUGGAAUUCCUGGUGUAGCGGUGAAAUGCGCAGAUAUCAGGAGGAACACCGGUGGCGAAGGCGGGACUCUGGGACGGUACUGACGCUGAGACGCGAAAGCGUGGGGAGCGAACAGG
rnacentral:rRNA from 1 species